CUGGAUUGCCCACGACGACACAGUUUCCCGGCUCCCCUCGCGGACACCUACUCAGCCGCAGCGCAUAGGCCAUGUCAAGCGGCAGCCCAUCGCAGUCCUCACAACCCCGGAUUGAGAUCGCCGCUCCCCACUCCUCGCAGCCGCGGUGGUGUCGCAGUCACGCGAAUCGUCGACAAGGCAGCGCCGAUGGCCUCUGCCCUGUGCCUGCUCGAGCUACGAGCUCGUCGCCUUCCCCUUGCGAGUCCAUCGAGAAGGUGCCGUCCGCUGCUUGCAACCACAGUCCGGGGAGACGACUGGUCCGGUUACUCCGGUAAUCCCUGGACGCAGAUGACAUGCAUGAGGACGUCACUGGAGCUUUUGAUUCACGGCGGUGCCUCUGGUUAUAUCGCCAACCAUGCUCAUAGCUGCGUCUUCACAGCCGGUGGAGCCGCGCCUCAGUGCUACCGUGCCAGCAAUGCUGCCUUCAAGGUGUCUGACAAGAGGUACAACCCCACCUGACACGGUAUGCUCCACAGUCCUUUUCCAUCCCAUCUACAUGGACCUCAGGUAACUCACCUUCUCCAUUUUAUUGGUUUCAUUAUUUGAUAAUGAGUGCCAAUGUAAGGGGACAUCCUAUAGAUUGAUGAAGAAUUGAUUUGCAUGCAGGCCAACUACG
rnacentral:lncRNA from 1 species